GUGUGAAUUGCAGAAUUCAGUGAAUCAUCGAAUCUUUGAACGCACAUUGCGCCUCCUGGUAUUCCGGGAGGCAUGCCUGUUCGAGCGUCAUUAAAAACCACUCAAGCUCUUUUGCUUGGUCAUGGAAGAAGAGUCCGCUUGCCGGUCUCCCUUUCGAAAUGCAAUGGCGGAAGGUCUCUUGUACCCAGCGUAGUAAUAACUUUUCGCUUUGUGCAUUGAUUCAUUCCUGCCGUCAAACCCCCAAUUUUCUUAGGUUGACCUCGGAUCAGGUAGGGAUACCCGCUGAACUUAAGCAUAUCAUAGACGGAGGAAA
rnacentral:rRNA from 1 species